rnacentral:rRNA from 1 species
GACGAACGCUGGCGGCGUGCCUAAUACAUGCAAGUAGAACGCUGAAGAGAGGAGCUUACUCUUCUUGGAUGAGUUGCGAACGGGUGAGUAACGCGUAGGUAACCUGCCUUGUAGCGGGGGAUAACUAUUGGAAACGAUAGCUAAUACCGCAUAACAAUGGAUGACACAUGUCAUUUAUUUGAAAGGGGCAAUUGCUCCACUACAAGAUGGACCUGCGUUGUAUUAGCUAGUAGGUGAGGUAAUGGCUCACCUAGGCGACGAUACAUAGCCGACCUGAGAGGGUGAUCGGCCACACUGGGACUGAGACACGGCCCAGACUCCUACGGGAGGCAGCAGGAGGGAAUCUUCGGCAAUGGGGGCAACCCUGACCGAGCAACGCCGCGUGAGUGAAGAAGGUUGUCGGAUCGUAAAGCUCUGUUGUAAGUCAAGAACGGGUGUGAGAGUGGAAAGUUCACACUGUGACGGUAGCUUACCAGAAAGGGACGGCUAACUACGUG